rnacentral:rRNA from 1 species
GAUGAACGCUGGCGGCGUGCCUAAUACAUGCAAGUAGAACGCUGAAGGAAGGAGCUUGCUCUUUCCGGAUGAGUUGCGAACGGGUGAGUAACGCGUAGGUAACCUGCCUGGUAGCGGGGGAUAACUAUUGGAAACGAUGGCUAAUACCGCAUAACAGUAGAUGUUGCAUGAUAUCUACUUAAAAGGUGCAAUUGCACCACUACCAGAUGGACCUGCGUUGUAUUAGCUAGUUGGUGAGGUAACGGCUCACCAAGGCGACGAUACAUAGCCGACCUGAGAGGGUGAUCGGCCACACUUGGACUGAGACACGGCCCAGACUCCUACGGGAGGCAGCAGUAGGGAAUCUUCGGCAAUGGACGGAAGUCUGACCGAGCAACGCCGCGUGAGUGAAGAAGGUUUUCGGAUCGUAAAGCUCUGUUGUAAGAGAAGAACGAGUGUGAGAGUGGAAAGUUCACACUGUGACGGUAUCUUACCAGAAAGGGACGGCUAACUACGUG